GACGAACGCUGGCGGCGUGCUUAACACAUGCAAGUCGAACGGAAAGGCCUCUUUCGGGGGGUACUCGAGUGGCGAACGGGUGAGUAACACGUGAGUAACCUGCCCUUGACUUUGGGAUAACUUCAGGAAACUGGGGCUAAUACCGGAUAGGAGCUCCUGCUGCAUGGUGGGGGUUGGAAAGUUUCGGCGGUUGGGGAUGGACUCGCGGCUUAUCAGCUUGUUGGUGGGGUAGUGGCUUACCAAGGCUUUGACGGGUAGCCGGCCUGAGAGGGUGACCGGCCACAUUGGGACUGAGAUACGGCCCAGACUCCUACGGGAGGCAGCAGGGGGGAAGAUUGCACAAUGGGUGGAAGCCUGAUGCAGCAACGCCGGGGGCGGGAUGACGGCCUUCGGGUUGUAAACCGCUUUCGCUCAUGACGAAGCUUUGUGUGACGGUAGUGGGUAAAGAAGCACCGGCUAACUACGUG
rnacentral:rRNA from 1 species